GGGAACGUACCCUUUGGUUCGGAAUAACGCUGGGAAACUAGCGCUAAUACCGGAUACGCCCUUUUGGGGAAAGGCUUGCUGCCGAAGGAUCGGCCCGCGUCUGAUUAGCUAGUUGGUGGGGUAAUGGCCUACCAAGGCGACGAUCAGUAGCUGGUCUGAGAGGAUGAUCAGCCACACUGGGACUGAGACACGGCCCAGACUCCUACGGGAGGCAGCAGUGGGGAAUAUUGGACAAUGGGCGCAAGCCUGAUCCAGCCAUGCCGCGUGAGUGAUGAAGGCCUUAGGGUUGUAAAGCUCUUUUGUCCGGGACGAUAAUGACGGUACCGGAAGAAUAAGCCCCGGCUAACUUCGUGCCAGCAGCCGCGGUAAUACGAAGGGGGCUAGCGUUGCUCGGAAUCACUGGGCGUAAAGGGCGCGUAGGCGGCCAUUCAAGUCGGGGGUGAAAGCCUGUGGCUCAACCACAGAAUUGCCUUCGAUACAGUUUGGCUUGAGUUUGGUAGAGGUUGGUGGAACUGCGAGU
rnacentral:rRNA from 1 species